rnacentral:rRNA from 1 species
UAAUUUAUAUAAAAUAUUUUGAUGAAUAUUUAUAUAAUAUUAACAUAAUUCAUAUUACUAUAUAUUUUAGUAUAUGAAAUUUUACUUUGAGAAAAUUAGAGUGCUUAAAGCAGGCAUAUGCCUUGAAUACUCCAGCAUGGAAUAAUAUUAAAGAUUUUUAUCUUUCUUAUUGGUUCUAAGAUAAGAAUAAUGAUUAAUAGGGACAGUUGGGGGCAUUUGUAUUUAACAGUCAGAGGUGAAAUUCUUAGAUUUGUUAAAGACAAACUAAUGCGAAAGCAUUUGCCAAGGAUGUUUUCAUUAAUCAAGAACGAAAGUUAGGGGAUCGAAGACGAUCAGAUACCGUCGUAGUCUUAACCAUAAACUAUGCCAACUAGAGAUUGGAGGUUGUUCCUUACUCCUUCC